rnacentral:rRNA from 1 species
GACGAACGCUGGCGGCGUGCUUAACACAUGCAAGUCGAACGGAAAGGCCCUUCGGGGUACUCGAGUGGCGAACGGGUGAGUAACACGUGGGUGAUCUGCCCUGCACUUUGGGAUAAGCCUGGGAAACUGGGUCUAAUACCGAAUAGGACCACGCGCUUCAUGGUGUGUGGUGGAAAGCUUUUGCGGUGUGGGAUGGGCCCGCGGCCUAUCAGCUUGUUGGUGGGGUAAUGGCCUACCAAGGCGACGACGGGUAGCCGGCCUGAGAGGGUGACCGGCCACACUGGGACUGAGAUACGGCCCAGACUCCUACGGGAGGCAGCAGUGGGGAAUAUUGCACAAUGGGCGCAAGCCUGAUGCAGCGACGCCGCGUGAGGGAUGACGGCCUUCGGGUUGUAAACCUCUUUCAAUAGGGACGAAGCGCAAGUGACGGUACCUAUAGAAGAAGCACCGGCCAACUACGUGCCAGCAGCCGCGGUAAUACGUAGGGUGCGAGCGUUGUCCGGAAUUACUGGGCGUAAAGAGCUCGUAGGUGGUUUGUCGCGUUGUUCGUGAAAACUCACAGCUUAACUGUGGGCGUGCGGGCGAUACGGGCAGACUAGAGUACUGCAGGGGAGACUGGAAUUCCUGGUGUAGCGGUGGAAUGCGCAGAUAUCAGGAGGAACACCGGUGGCGAAGGCGGGUCUCUGGGCAGUAACUGACGCUGAGGAGCGAAAGCGUGGGGAGCGAACAGGAUUAGAUACCCUGGUAGUCCACGCCGUAAACGGUGGGUACUAGGUGUGGGUUCCUUCCUUGGGAUCCGUGCCGUAGCUAACGCAUUAAGUACCCCGCCUGGGGAGUACGGCCGCAAGGCUAAAACUCAAAGGAAUUGACGGGGGCCCGCACAAGCGGCGGAGCAUGUGGAUUAAUUCGAUGCAACGCGAAGAACCUUACCUGGGUUUGACAUGCACAGGACGCCGGCAGAGAUGUCGGUUCCCUUGUGGCCUGUGUGCAGGUGGUGCAUGGCUGUCGUCAGCUCGUGUCGUGAGAUGUUGGGUUAAGUCCCGCAACGAGCGCAACCCUUGUCCUAUGUUGCCGGCGGGUUAUGCCGGGGACUCGUAGGAGACUGCCGGGGUCAACUCGGAGGAAGGUGGGGAUGACGUCAAGUCAUCAUGCCCCUUAUGUCCAGGGCUUCACACAUGCUACAAUGGCCGGUACAAAGGGCUGCGAUGCCGUGAGGUGGAGCGAAUCCUUUCAAAGCCGGUCUCAGUUCGGAUCGGGGUCUGCAACUCGACCCCGUGAAGUCGGAGUCGCUAGUAAUCGCAGAUCAGCAACGCUGCGGUGAAUACGUUCCCGGGCCU